UACGGAGGGUGCAAGCGUUAUCCGGAUUCACUGGGUUUAAAGGGUGCGUAGGCGGACAGGUAAGUCAGUGGUGAAAUCUCUGGGCUUAACCCAGAAACUGCCGUUGAUACUAUUUGUCUUGAAUAUCCUGGAGGUAGGCGGAAUAUGUCAUGUAGCGGUGAAAUGCUUAGAUAUGACAUAGAACACCAAUUGCGAAGGCAGCUUACUACAUAGUUAUUGACACUGAGGCACGAAAGCGUGGGGAUCAAACAGG
rnacentral:rRNA from 1 species